rnacentral:lncRNA from 1 species
CUCCUACUGGAGCUGGUCUGGGUCUUCAUCAUGAGCCUUUUACCUCCUCAUUGCCAAGACUAUUACUCCUACUCUGGGUUCACUUUCCUUCUUCUCAGAGCAGCUGUUCAAUUAUAUAUAUAGUGCUAUACACAGAUCCAUUACUUCCUGGAAUAAACCUUAGCAACAAGACAAUUUUGCCUAAAUAUUAUUAUGAAUAAGAUUCCUAAACUGUUGCGCGAAGAUCCAUCCCAUCAUACUGGGACAGGCUGGAAUUUUCAGUACUCUAAUCUGUUCCAUUUACCCAAAGCAAAUUUAUUCUUAGAAGAAUCUCUCAACUCUGAAAUAAGAGCAGAUCUCCAAAUCCUAAGGUGGAAUUUCUUCUUCAUCAGUGAAGCCUCAGCUGCACUCUUAAGGCCUUUCAACUGAUAAAAUCAGUCCUACCCAGUUUAUCUAGGAUAAUGUCCCUUACUCAAAGUCAG